GGACAACAGGUUGAUAUUCCUGUACCACCUCCUCACCAUUUGAGCAAUGGGGGGACGCAGGAGGAUAGGGUAAGCGCGGUAUUGGAUAUCCGCGUCCAAGCAGUUAGGCUGGGAAAUAGGCAAAUCCGUUUCCCAUAAGGCUGAGCUGUGAUGGCGAGCGAAAUAUAGUAGCGAAGUUCCUGAUUCCACACUGCCAAGAAAAGCCUCUAGCGAGGUGAGAGGUGCCCGUACCGCAAACCGACACAGGUAGGCGAGGAGAGAAUCCUAAGGUGAUCGAGAGAACUCUCGUUAACGAACUCGGCAAAAUGACGCC
rnacentral:rRNA from 1 species